rnacentral:rRNA from 1 species
UACGUAGGUGGCGAGCGUUAUCCGGAAUGAUUGGGCGUAAAGGGUGCGUAGGCGGACUGUCAAGUCAGCGGUAAAAUUGAGAGGCUCAACCCCUUCCCGCCGUUGAAACUGGUGGUCUUGAGUGGAUGAGUAGUACGCGGAAUGCGUGGUGUAGCGGUGAAAUGCAUAGAUAUCACGCAGAACUCCGAUUGCGAAGGCAGCGUACCGGCAUCCAACUGACGCUGAGGCACGAAAGCGUGGGGAUCAAACAGG